UACCAGCACCCCGAGUGGUCGGGACGAUUAUUGGGCCUAAAGCAUCCGUAGCCGGUCCUGCAAGUCCUCCGUUAAAUCCACCCGCUCAACGGUUGGGCCGCGGGGGAUACUACAGGGCUAGGAGGCGGGAGAGGCAAGCGGUACUCGAUGGGUAGGGGUAAAAUCCACUGAUCCAUUGAAGACCACCAGUGGCGAAGGCGGCUUGCCAGAACGCGCUCGACGGUGAGGGAUGAAAGCUGGGGGAGCAAACCGGAUUAGAUACCCGGGUAGUCCCAGCUGUAAACGAUGUAGACUCGGUGAUGGGCUGGCUUCGUGCCAACCCGGUGCCGCAGGGAAGCCGUUAAGUCUGCCGCCUGGGGAGUACGGUCGCAAGACUGAAACUUAA
rnacentral:rRNA from 1 species